rfam:Legionella israelensis strain Bercovier 4 Lisr_ctg129, whole genome shotgun sequence.
CAAUAACGCCUUCAUCAGAUUGGCUAUCCGGCUUAUAUCGAUAAACUGAGUCGCUGAUACCCACAACCUUACACGCCCGGCGUAAACUCACAGUAUGAGCAUUCACUGCAUAAUCAACCAGCUCCCGUCUCACAGAUGGCUUC